AGCGGCUGACAAAAAGCAAAGGGCCAGACCCUUGUGUGUCAGCCCUUUUUUGCUUUUGGCAGCAGCUCGUUCGUUUAGCAGAGCCAA
rnacentral:antisense_RNA from 1 species